rnacentral:rRNA from 1 species
GGGUUGUGAGGUUAAGCGACUAAGCGUACACGGUGGAUGCCCUGGCAGUCAGAGGCGAUGAAGGACGUGCUAAUCUGCGAUAAGCGUCGGUAAGGUGAUAUGAACCGUUAUAACCGGCGAUUUCCGAAUGGGGAAACCCAGUGUGAUUCGUCACACUAUCAUUAACUGAAUCCAUAGGUUAAUGAGGCGAACCGGGGGAACUGAAACAUCUAAGUACCCCGAGGAAAAGAAAUCAACCGAGAUUCCCCCAGUAGCGGCGAGCGAACGGGGAGGAGCCCAGAGCCUGAAUCAGUGUGUGUGUUAGUGGAAGCGUCUGGAAAGGCGCGCGAUACAGGGUGACAGCCCCGUACACAAAAAUGCACAUGCUGUGAGCUCGAUGAGUAGGGCGGGACACGUGGUAUCCUGUCUGAAUAUGGGGGGACCAUCCUCCAAGGCUAAAUACUCCUGACUGACCGAUAGUGAACCAGUACCGUGAGGGAAAGGCGAAAAGAACCCCGGCGAGGGGAGUGAAAAAGAACCUGAAACCGUGUACGUACAAGCAGUGGGAGCCUCUUUAUGGGGUGACUGCGUACCUUUUGUAUAAUGGGUCAGCGACUUAUAUUCUGUAGCAAGGUUAACCGAAUAGGGGAGCCGAAGGGAAACCGAGUCUUAACUGGGCGUUAAGUUGCAGGGUAUAGACCCGAAACCCGGUGAUCUAGCCAUGGGCAGGUUGAAGGUUGGGUAACACUAACUGGAGGACCGAACCGACUAAUGUUGAAAAAUUAGCGGAUGACUUGUGGCUGGGGGUGAAAGGCCAAUCAAACCGGGAGAUAGCUGGUUCUCCCCGAAAGCUAUUUAGGUAGCGCCUCGUGAACUCAUCUCCGGGGGUAGAGCACUGUUUCGGCAAGGGGGUCAUCCCGACUUACCAACCCGAUGCAAACUGCGAAUACCGGAGAAUGUUAUCACGGGAGACACACGGCGGGUGCUAACGUCCGUCGUGAAGAGGGAAACAACCCAGACCGCCAGCUAAGGUCCCAAAGUCAUGGUUAAGUGGGAAACGAUGUGGGAAGGCCCAGACAGCCAGGAUGUUGGCUUAGAAGCAGCCAUCAUUUAAAGAAAGCGUAAUAGCUCACUGGUCGAGUCGGCCUGCGCGGAAGAUGUAACGGGGCUAAACCAUGCACCGAAGCUGCGGCAGCGACGCUUAUGCGUUGUUGGGUAGGGGAGCGUUCUGUAAGCCUGCGAAGGUGUACUGUGAGGUAUGCUGGAGGUAUCAGAAGUGCGAAUGCUGACAUAAGUAACGAUAAAGCGGGUGAAAAGCCCGCUCGCCGGAAGACCAAGGGUUCCUGUCCAACGUUAAUCGGGGCAGGGUGAGUCGACCCCUAAGGCGAGGCCGAAGGGCGUAGUCGAUGGGAAACAGGUUAAUAUUCCUGUACUUGGUGUUACUGCGAAGGGGGGACGGAGAAGGCUAUGUUGGCCGGGCGACGGUUGUCCCGGUUUAAGCGUGUAGGCUGGUUUUCCAGGCAAAUCCGGAAAAUCAAGGCUGAGGCGUGAUGACGAGGCACUACGGUGCUGAAGCAACAAAUGCCCUGCUUCCAGGAAAAGCCUCUAAGCAUCAGGUAACAUCAAAUCGUACCCCAAACCGACACAGGUGGUCAGGUAGAGAAUACCAAGGCGCUUGAGAGAACUCGGGUGAAGGAACUAGGCAAAAUGGUGCCGUAACUUCGGGAGAAGGCACGCUGAUACGUAGGUGAAGUCCCUUGCGGAUGGAGCUGAAAUCAGUCGAAGAUACCAGCUGGCUGCAACUGUUUAUUAAAAACACAGCACUGUGCAAACACGAAAGUGGACGUAUACGGUGUGACGCCUGCCCGGUGCCGGAAGGUUAAUUGAUGGGGUUAGCGGUAACGCGAAGCUCUUGAUCGAAGCCCCGGUAAACGGCGGCCGUAACUAUAACGGUCCUAAGGUAGCGAAAUUCCUUGUCGGGUAAGUUCCGACCUGCACGAAUGGCGUAAUGAUGGCCAGGCUGUCUCCACCCGAGACUCAGUGAAAUUGAACUCGCUGUGAAGAUGCAGUGUACCCGCGGCAAGACGGAAAGACCCCGUGAACCUUUACUAUAGCUUGACACUGAACAUUGAGCCUUGAUGUGUAGGAUAGGUGGGAGGCUUUGAAGUGUGGACGCCAGUCUGCAUGGAGCCGACCUUGAAAUACCACCCUUUAAUGUUUGAUGUUCUAACGUUGGCCCCUAAUCGGGGUUGCGGACAGUGUCUGGUGGGUAGUUUGACUGGGGCGGUCUCCUCCUAAAGAGUAACGGAGGAGCACGAAGGUUGGCUAAUCCUGGUCGGACAUCAGGAGGUUAGUGCAAUGGCAUAAGCCAGCUUGACUGCGAGCGUGACGGCGCGAGCAGGUGCGAAAGCAGGUCAUAGUGAUCCGGUGGUUCUGAAUGGAAGGGCCAUCGCUCAACGGAUAAAAGGUACUCCGGGGAUAACAGGCUGAUACCGCCCAAGAGUUCAUAUCGACGGCGGUGUUUGGCACCUCGAUGUCGGCUCAUCACAUCCUGGGGCUGAAGUAGGUCCCAAGGGUAUGGCUGUUCGCCAUUUAAAGUGGUACGCGAGCUGGGUUUAGAACGUCGUGAGACAGUUCGGUCCCUAUCUGCCGUGGGCGCUGGAGAACUGAGGGGGGCUGCUCCUAGUACGAGAGGACCGGAGUGGACGCAUCACUGGUGUUCGGGUUGUCAUGCCAAUGGCACUGCCCGGUAGCUAAAUGCGGAAGAGAUAAGUGCUGAAAGCAUCUAAGCACGAAACUUGCCCCGAGAUGAGUUCUCCCUGACUCCUUGAGAGUCCUGAAGGAACGUUGAAGACGACGACGUUGAUAGGCCGGGUGUGUAAGCGCAGCGAUGCGUUGAGCUAACCGGUACUAAUGAACCGUGAGGCUUAACCUUACAACGCCGAAG